CGUUCAGUGAUGAAACCUUUGUAUUGUGUUUAGAGAGGUGAUGACUUAAAUGUCACUCUCAAUAGAAUUAUGCUGAGGUCC
rnacentral:snoRNA from 1 species